rnacentral:rRNA from 1 species
GACGAACGCUGGCGGCGUGCUUAACACAUGCAAGUCGAACGGAAAGGCCCUGCUUGCAGGGUACUCGAGUGGCGAACGGGUGAGUAACACGUGGGUGAUCUGCCCUGCACUUCGGGAUAAGCCUGGGAAACUGGGUCUAAUACCGGAUAGGAGCCAUUUUUAGUGUGAUGGUUGGAAAGUUUUUUCGGUGUAGGAUGAGCUCGCGGCCUAUCAGCUUGUUGGUGGGGUAAUGGCCUACCAAGGCGGCGACGGGUAGCCGGCCUGAGAGGGUGGCCGGCCACAUUGGGACUGAGAUACGGCCCAGACUCCUACGGGAGGCAGCAGUGGGGAAGAUUGCACAAUGGGCGCAAGCCUGAUGCAGCGACGCCGCGUGGGGGAUGACGGCCUUCGGGUUGUAAACUCCUUUCGCUAGGGACGAAGCUUUUUGUGACGGUACCUAGAUAAGAAGCACCGGCUAACUACGUG